GCAUGGCACAGCAGGGAAAACCACGGUGGUACAGGAUGGGCCCGCGUCUGAUUAGUUAGUUGGCAGGGUAACGGCCUACCAAGACAACGAUCAGUAGCCGGCUUGAGAGAGUGGACGGCCACAUUGGGACUGAGACACGGCCCAGACUCCUGCGGGAGGCAGCAGUGGGGAAUAUUGCACAAUGGGGGGAACCCUGAUGCAGCAAUGCCGCGUGGGUGAAGAAGCACUCCGGUGCGUAAAGCCCUGUCAGCAGGGAAGAAAAUGACAGUACCUGGACAAGAAGCCCCGGCUAACUACGUGCCAGCAGCCGCGGUAAUACGUAGGGGGCAAGCGUUAUCCGGAUUUACUGGGUGUAAAGGGAGCGCAGGCGGCGUGGCAAGUCAGAUGUGAAAACCCGGGGCCCAACCCCGGGAGUGCAUUUGAAACUGCCAUGCUGGAGUGCCGGAGAGGUAAGCGGAAUUCCUAGUGUAGCGGUGAAAUGCGUAGAUAUUAGGAGGAACACCAGUGGCGGAGGCGGCUUACUGGACGGUAACUGACGCUGAGGCUCGAAAGCGUGGGGAGCAAACAGGAUUAGCUACCCUGGUAGUCCACGCCGUAAACGAUGAAUAAUAGGUACAGGGGCACAAAAGUGCUUCUGU
rnacentral:rRNA from 1 species